UUCAGAGUUUAGGGUUCAACAUGCUGGUGUGGAGUUUGUUGGUCUCCUGCAUGCUAUCCACCUGAUCCGCUAGAGAAGAGUUCGCUUUCGCAAGCAUAUAAAUCUGUUGGUGUGGUGAUCGAGGUUCUCGGCCACGCUGAGCGUGUUCACCAGAAAUUCUCUUAGUGAUUCUGGUGGGCUGGUAUCCGUUGCGAAUGACUUCACUAGAGAAACAUUUCUCUUCACCAGACUUGUAGGAUUUUGAGGUCUUGUAUCGGAUCUUUGGGUUUGGAGUCAUCCCCUGCUUUGCAACACAAUCUGCUUUCUCCUUGCCUAUUUUCUUCUUACUCAGUUUUGCAUUUCGCUCCGAUCGCCCCUUUCUCAUGUCUAUGUCUUCUCCAAGGUUUAGUGGCUUAACCAAUUCCCUGGCCUCUCGUAUCUCACGAGUGUUCCCCAGUCUUGUUCGUAGAGACGACUUCGGGGGAGUGGCGGGAGGAGUUUUGGAGGAAGAGUAUGGCGCCGUGUUUUCUUCAGAGUUUGUCAAUGUGUCGCGAGACAUAGCGAGGCUCCACAUUUUGUCCCUCCCCUUCCCUUUCAUCUCUCUUCAACCCUUUCACAUUUUUAUUGUGUGUUCCUCGAAGGGUAUAGGACCACAUCAUUGUUUGCUGACCAUGGUGCCCACACUCCCAGCUACAGUACAUCCAUUAGUACCUUGUAACAUGCGGCCUACCAUCUCACUCGGAACGAGUAUUACGCCGCAAUCUGUGCAUCAUGCUAAAAUUAUUACAAAGCUUCAUUCUCUGACGUUCGCAUUUUGUUAGGUUUCACAGCGAAAGCAUCAUCUGCGUGACCUAAUGCGAAUCCAAUUGUAACGCUCUACAUUGCUGGUACACAGGAAUAUGUGUGAGGACUGAUGUACAUAUCCAAUUGCAUAUCCAGUUGUAACAAAGCCACUUAUGAGCCGGACAAACGAUUGAAGGACCGUCGUUGCAGUCCAUAGUAGUUUAGUUCUCGCCCAAUAGAACAGAAGAUCUCCCGUCUAAUAGAUAUAGAACAUGCGUAAAAUUUUCGACCUGUUUUAUUUCUGUAAUUGAUUAUGAAAGUUUCAAUAUACAUGGCACACGCAAAGAAAACACAAGUUUCAGAGGA